UGCUGCCCUGGCGGCCGCCGGCGGAGACAGACAAAGACCCGGGAGCUGGGGGCGCGGGGCGUGUCCCCAGGCUCCGGGAGCCCCCUGGCCAAAACCGGUCGUAACUCACCUGGAGACUGGGGCGGAGCGGCGGGCGGAGGUGGCUCUGAGGACUUCCCUGGUGGUGCAGUGGUUGAGAGCCUGCCUGCUAAUGCAGGGGACACAGGUUCGAGCCCUGGUCCGGGAGGAUCUCACAUGCCGCAGAGCAACUAAGCCCAUGCGCCACAACUACUGAGCCUGCACUCUGGAACCUGCAAGCCACAACUGCUGAGUCCACGUGCCACAACUACUGAAGCCUGUGCGCCUAGGGUCCAUGCUCCGCAACAAGAGAAACCACAGCGAUGAGAAGCCCGCACACCACAAGGAGCAGCCCCCGCUCGCCGCAACUAGAGGGGGCCUGCGCGCAGCAACGAAGACCCAAUGCAGCCAAAAAUAAAUAAAUAAAUAAAUAUUUUAAAAA